AAAAAAAAAAAAGAAAAAGAAUAUUUGGCAAUACGGAAAGUUCCCCUUGGGUUUUCUGACUCCAAGCCUGGUGUUUUUGUUUGUUUGUUUGUUUGUUUUCAUUUGCACAACAUUGCCUUUCCCCAAGAGUACUGGAUAACAAUGCCCUCCCUCCAAGUCCCAAGUCACUAUUGCAGAAGUCAGGACCUUAACACACACAUUUCAAAGUUACUGACACCUAGUCAAACCUGGUGCCUUAGCAAUGCAAUCUUGUAAUUUCCCAGGUCAAACAGAUCUUCAAGGGUUGCUCUCAUGGCAGAAUUUGGUGGUAGAAGGAAGGAAGCAGAGUCUCAGUCUUUGUGCAGCUUGUAGGGAGUUCCCUUUUUCUCAAGCCCUUGCAGCAUCCUUCCCACUCUAAGCUUAAAGGAGACUGUGUAACCAGCAGUGCUCACCCAUCCUGGGCCUGAGUUUGAAUCCCAGCUCUGGAGUUCAGCUGUGUGACAUGCAAGACCUUGUCCCUCUCUGAAGUCCUUCUGUAAAAUGAGGUGGCUGCAUUGGGUGAUCCCAUUCCACACCAUGAGUCUAUAGUCCUAUCAUCCUGGGUAUACCGACGUCUGGUGGCCAACUUUGGUCCUUGCAGCUAAUUCAGGUUUUUUCUUUGUUUUUGAGACAUAGUCUCGCUGUGUCACCCAGGCUAGAGUGCAGUGACGCGAUCUCAGCUCACUGCAGCCUCUGCCUCCCAGGUUCAAGCGAUUCUCAUGCCUCAGGAUCCUGAAUAGCUGAGGAAUACAGGCACCUGCCACCACACCUGGCUAAUUUUUGUAUUUUUAGUAGAGACAGGCUCUCGCUCUGUUGCUCAGACUGGUCUCGAACUCCUGAGCUCAAGUGAUCCGCCUGCCUCGGCCUCACAAAGUGCUGGAUUACAGGCGUGAGCCACCGUGUCCAGCUCAGUUUUUAAUUUUUUAUUUUUCAGUAUCUGGAGUGUUUAGCACAGCCAGGAAACAAAACACACCAGAGAGGGCCACCUUGCCAUGUCACCAACGAUGCAAUAACUACCGAAGAAAGGCCCCUUGGGUGGCUAUGGAGGAGCAGAGGUCAGCAGAGGAGAUGGCCAGCAAAGUGCUCUCCUUUGCUCUAUUUCUUUUCUUUUGAGACGGAGUCCCACUCUAUUGCCCAGGCUGGAAUGCAGUGGCAUGAUCUCGGCUUCUGCAACCUCCAUCUCCCAGGUUCAAGCAAUUCUCCUGCCUCAGCCUCCCGAGGAGCUGGGAUUACAGGUGCCCGCCACCACACCUGGCUAAUUUUUGUAUUUUUUUAGGUGAGACGGGGUUUCACCAUGUUGGCCAGGCUGGUCUUGAACUCCUGACAUCAGGUGAUCCGCCCACCUCAGCCUCCCAAAGUGUUGGGAUUACAGGCGUGAGCCACUGUGUGAUUCUUAGCAUGUUGUAAGUUUGUCAUUGUUCCAUUUCCAAAGCAUUCCAACCUCCAUCCCCGCAUGCGUUUGCACUUCUUUAGAUUUGUGGGUCUGAGAGCGCAUUAGCACCCCAUCCACAUGCAGUCUCCUGCCCUUCCAAUCCUCACCCUGAAAACCUUCCUGUAGUCACAGACCUAGUCAUUUUUCCCACGGCUACUCUUGAACUCUUUAUGGACCUCUGCGCUCGCUUCCUCUUCUGUGAAAACAAAUGAGUUUAUGUAGAUUAAGAUCUAGCCAACUUCUGUAAAGGAUCAGAUGGUAAAUAUUUUAGGCUUUGCAGGCUAGUGACUCAACUCUGCAUGAAAAUAACUGCAAUGUGUAAAGGAAUGAGCAUGGUUGGGCACCACACUGAAAUUUGAAUUUCAUCUCCUUCCCAGGGGCCCCAGAAGAGUCUUCUUCUUCGGACUUUUUCCCCAAGCAUUUAAAUGUAAAAACAUUUCUAGCUUGCAGGUGGUAUGAAAAUAGGCAGCAGGCUGGAGGUGACUGAGGAGCCUAUCUAGUCUUUUUUUUUUUUUUAAACAGAGUCUCGCUCUGUUGCACAGGCUGGAGUGCAGUGGCGCCAUCUCAGCUCACUGCAACCUCGGCCUCCUGGGUUCAAGCAAAUCUGCCUCAGCCUCCCGAGUAGCUGGGACUACAGUUGCGCACCACCACGCCCAGCUAAUUUUUGUAUUUUUAGUAGAGACGGGGUUUUACCAUGUUGGCCAGGCUGGUCUCAAACUCCUGGCCUCAAGCGAUCCAUCAGCCUCAGCCUCCCAAAGUGCUGGGAUUACAGGCGUGAGCCACUGCGCCUGGCUGUAUCUAGUCAUCUUUAAAGACCCUCCCAUCUCUGAGAACCCAUGAAACUGCGCAGUCCUCUGGACUGGAGCUGGGGUGUGUCAAAGGCAAAUCUUUGCCUGCCUUCUCAGAACACCAUAUUCAGAGAAGGCCAUUCAGGACAGAUUUGUCAGGCUGUUCCGAAUGCCCAGGUCUGGGAUGAGAUGGCCUAUCCAUGGAGGAUUUUUAUUUUUUCGAGACAGGGUCUCACUCUGUUGCUCAGGCUGGAGUGCAGUGGUGUGAUCUUGGCUCACCACAGCCUCUGCUUCCUGGGUUCAAGUGAUCCUCCUGCGUCUGCCUCCCAAGUAGCUGUGUUACAAGAAAGGGGUCCUGAUCUAGACCCCCCAAGAGAGGGUUCUUGGAUCUCACACAAGAAAUAAUUCAAGACGAGGCGGUAAGGUGAAAGCAAGUUUAUUAAGAAAGUAAAGGAACAAAAGAAUGGCUACUCCAUA
rnacentral:lncRNA from 1 species